UCCUCGCACUCUGGAGAGCGGCAGCGGCUUCGUCGGAAACGAUCGAGCCAGUUGCCCACCGAAGGGGCGCGCGACGAACCGCCGGCACGAACGUGCACGGUUCGCGCAAUCUCUCAGGUACCGAGGACAGAGGGGUCACG
rnacentral:ncRNA from 1 species